rnacentral:rRNA from 1 species
UGUAAGCGUAUACCAAAGUUGUUGCAGUUAAAACGCUCGUAGUCGGAAUUUGGCAGUUCCGGAUGUGUGCACGUCGUGUGCGCACUUCGCGGGGAUUGCUUUUGUGGUCUUGCGUAGGAUGAGGCACUUUUAUUAGUGAACGUCCUCACGCAACCACUUUUUACUGUGAGAAAAUCAGAGUGCUCAAAGCAGGCAUUUGCCGUGAAUGUAUUAGCAUGGAAUAAUAGAAUAGGACUUGGUUCUAUUUUGUUGGUUUGUUGGGACUGAGUAAUGAUUAUGAGGGACAGUUGGGGGCAUUUGUAUUUCGGCGCUAGAGGUGAAAUUCUUAGAUUGCCGAAAGACAAACUGCUGCGAAAGCGUCUGCCAAGGAUGUUUUCAUUGA